rfam:Schistosoma margrebowiei strain Zambia genome assembly, scaffold: SMRZ_contig0002290
AUUCAGAUGACGAGUUCAAAAUAGGACAAAACACGAGUUCAGGAU